GAUGAACGCUGGCGGCGUGCCUAAUACAUACAAGUCGAGCGAACAGACGAGGAGCUUGCUCCUCUGACGUUAGCGGCGGACGGGUGAGUAACACGUGGAUAACCUACCUAUAAGACUGGGAUAACUUCGGGAAACCGGAGCUAAUACCGGAUAAUAUAUUGAACCGCAUGGUUCAAUAGUGAAAGACGGUUUUGCUGUCACUUAUAGAUGGAUCCGCGCCGCAUUAGCUAGUUGGUAAGGUAACGGCUUACCAAGGCGACGAUGCGUAGCCGACCUGAGAGGGUGAUCGGCCACACUGGAACUGAGACACGGUCCAGACUCCUACGGGAGGCAGCAGUAGGGAAUCUUCCGCAAUGGGCGAAAGCUUGACGGAGCAACGCCGCGUGAGUGAUGAAGGUCUUCGGAUCGUAAAACUCUGUUAUUAGGGAAGAACAAAUGUGUAAGUAACUAUGCACGUCUUGACGGUACCUAAUCAGAAAGCCACGGCUAACUACGUG
rnacentral:rRNA from 1 species